CUGACCAUCCUGAUAACACAGUUUCUCUUUGUUUCAGAAAGUGGUGGAGAGAGAGCUAGAUGCUCUUUUGGAACAGCAAAAUACCAUUGAAAGUAAGAUGGUCACUCUCCACCGAAUGGGGUGAGUCUGUGCAUCACGGCAAGAGCUAUUAUGAAUUCCAACAGGGUCCACUGCAUAAGUUACCAUUUUUCUUAACUUUCUGUUAUAAACUGCCAGUUGAGUUUGAAGUGGAGAGCAUUAACUCAAGAUAAAGUGAACUACCAAAGGGUAUAUACAUAGUUUAUUGAUUAUCAGAGAGUCCUUGGAACAGGUGAAAACUUGUUAGAGAUACAGAUUCUAGGACCCUAGCCCAAACUUAUUGAAUCUGAAACUCCGAGAGCAUGGUCCAGGAAUAUGUAUUUUAACAAGGCUUCCAGUGAUUCUGAUCCAGUGUAGCUCACAUUUGAGAACCACUGCUUUUAUAGGGAUUGUAUGUUUGCUGGUCAAAAAGAUAUUUUUCAUUGAUCGCAGCAUUUUCUCAGAUUAUUGGUUAGUACAUUUUAGGCUACUUAGCAAUUGGCAGAAUCUGUUUGAUGUUAAUCUAUUUAGGGGCAAAUCUAGUAGUUUUUAAAACUAAUUUUGUAUUAAGUAUAGAACAGUAAAAUACUCUUUGAGAAAAAGCUGUGUGUAAACUGAGGUAAAAGUUAUGGGGAAGUUAAAAAAAAAAAAAAAGACAGUCUCCAUUUGCAAAAAAAUGUUUCCAUCUCUUACUCCUACUUUCUGCCCUUUGAAUAUGUGUGCUAACAAUGUGUGUUUCUAGCCCCAACCUGCAAUUGAUUGAGGGAGAUGCAAAGCAGUUGGCUGGAAUGAUCACUUUUACCUGCAACCUUGCUGAGAAUGUGUCCAGCAAAGUUCGUCAGCUUGACCUAGCCAAGGUAAUCCCUUUGAGUUUUGGAUGUUUCAGUUAAUUGGGGGCAGGAAAGAAGCUACAUUACAGAUUAGAGCAACACCAUCCAGUAGAAAUCUAAUAUGAAAUAUCAGAACCAAAGAAACAACAUGAAAACUAUA
rnacentral:lncRNA from 1 species